AUUGCCUACACACACUGCUCGUUCGUUUCCUGCUGCUGCUUAACAGAGCAUUCAUUCCGUAACAUAUCCGGCCGCCGCAGAAGAGAGGUUUAAUUUUCCGUUCCCAGCCGUACGGAACCAUGGCCACCAUUUUCUUUGCAUCCCGUAUGGCCAGCUAGUGCGGCCAGUUUCAACACAGCUUCACCAUCUCCACAUACAUUUACGCGGGUCAUCAUCGAAUACAAGUGAAAAAUAGCUCUUCCCGAUUUACUCUUCAUCCAAGAGAGAGAGAGGAGAAAACGGUGGCCCUUCGUAACUACACAAAAGCGCACCACCUCCCACACCUCGGCGAUGCGCAAAUUUUUCAAGCCCAACACAGCAGCUUUGUCCUGCUACACCAACCAAGCAGGAAGGAGUUUCUGGCAUCAGCAUGAAUAUGGGACCGAACAGCAGGACGAUGAAUCCGGAAAUAAUAUUCAACUGGAACACAUUCACGCCAGCGGAAAUGCUGAAGGACAUCAACAUGCCCAGGUUCAGCAUGAGCUGGAAGAAACUGCCCACCGUGCCCCGAAUACGUUGGUCUGCUAUUUCUCCAAUGUAGAUCGGCACCGACAUCGAGUAAGCGCCUGCAGCGAAUCCCUGCAGCAAGCGGCCCAGAUACAUCAUCACUAUGGCUUGGGCCCAUGUCAACAGCACCCAUCCUGCAAUGCAUACAAUACGCACUCAACAUUUACUAACAAUGAUUCACUCGGCCUACUACGACCAUCAAUGCACACCCAAAAGUAGUGGUAGAACGAAGAAAAGGAUGGUGUUUUUGCGUCCUUCCGAUUUCAGCAUCAUCCCGCAUGGUAUGGCCGCAAUCGCACCACCGAUAGGCAUAAAGGCAAUCGUCCACGAAAAUUGAUCGUCAGUCAGGUUGAGGUUUCCUUCGCCAUUUUCGAGUAUCUGGGGUCCUGCUGGUGCGGACCAGCCAAACACCAUUCCGAUCGUUAGUACGCCAUAGGAAGCUGUAAACGGUACGCAUUAUUACGAAAUAGAGAAAAAAAAGGAAGAUCAAUCGUCCAACCGCCUCAAUCUGUUCGGAGAUAUGUGCUGGAGCUCAUCGAUCAUUUUAUCAGCGUUUCUGAUAAUUAUCAUACUCAUUGAUACUAUUCAUUGAUCGGUUAGUUAUCUCGUCACUGUCAAACACGUGUUGGUUUAUGCUUCAAAACAAAAACAAUUCGUUUACGCAAUCUCACACACAUAUGAAUCUUAUACAUCCACAGACAAUUGAUUUUUAAUUUGUUAACCUAGCACAUGUCGCCGAACGUUCAAAUUCUUUAGCGUGUGAAAUCCUUAUUUACACAUUUUAAUGUUGCAACAACACGAAUAAUUAAAAACUGUGACACUUCUUCGCCAAGAAGAGAAUCGAAUUUCACCACUCAAUUACCUGCUAAAGCCGCGAUGUAUUGAUUUUGAUGUGCGAAACAGUAUGGUAGCUUGCCCAUCCUUGCGCACCAACUACGCACCAGUAUUACUGUAGGUGCGAAUGGUUUAAGAUCAGUCCAAGCAAUACGAACCAUUACACUCUAGCUGUGUCACCAAACCAUUUUACAGUAGCACUGAAGUCCAAAACCAUUGAUAAGCAGCGAAAUAAAAUCACACUUCUGAAAGCUGA